GUCUUACCUGCCCACUGAGUAUUAAAGGGCCGCGGUAUUUUGACCGUGCAAAGGUAGCAUAAUCAUUAGUCUUUUAAUUGUGGACUGGAAUGAAAGGUGGGACGAGGCAUAAGCUGUCUCUGCGAUAAAUUGGAAUUUAUCUUUUUAGUGAAAAGACUAAAAUAAGGUUAGAGGACGAGAAGACCCUAUAGAACUUUAUAAGGUAUAAGUUAAUUUUUUAGAAGUUUGAUAAAGUUUUAUUUAGGUCUUAUUCUGUUGGGGUGAUGGGGUAAUAAAAUAACUUACCUUAAAUAUAACAUAAAUACAUGAUUAAAAGAACCAUUUGUGAUGAUUAUAAGAUUAAGUUACCUUAGGGAUAACAGCGUAAUCUUCUUUGAGAGUUCAAAUCGAUAAGAAGGGUUGCGACCUCGAUGUUGGAUUAAAGAUAAUUUUAGGUGCAGAAGCUUAAAAUUUAGGUCUGUUCGAC
rnacentral:rRNA from 1 species